rnacentral:tRNA from 1 species
GUUGAUGUAGCUUAAUACUAAAGCAAGGCACUGAAAAUGCCUAGAUGAAGUACGCCUACUCCAUAACA